CAUUGUUGGUUUCUCCCUUCUGACGAACCAUGAUGUCACUUAUUUGGUGUUGUGGGGAAUCAGGACUGUUACUUUGAAAAAAUUAGAGUGUUUAAAGCAGGCUCACGCUUGAAUACAUUAGCAUGGAAUAAUGAAAUAGGACGUUUGAUUCUAUUUUGUUGGUUUCUAGGAUCGACGUAAUGAUUAAUAGGGAUAGUUGGGGGCAUUAGUAUUCAAUUGUCAGAGGUGAAAUUCUUGGAUUUAUUGAAGACUAACUACUGCGAAAGCAUUUGCCAAGGAUGUUUUCAUUAAUCAAGAACGAAAGUUAGGGGAUCGAAGACGAUCAGAUACCGUCGUAGUCUUAACCAUAAACUAUGCCGACUAGGGAUCGGAUGAUGUUAAUUUUUUAAUGACUCAUUCGGCGCCUUACG
rnacentral:rRNA from 1 species